UCUAUCCAUUAUUUUUUCAUAAUUCCAACUAUACCCUUAUCUCCUAAAUUCCUCCGAAACACAAAACCUAACAGAGGCCAUAUACACUCCGUUGUCAUUUUUAGUUGGUUCUGAUUCUAAACUUGAAGAAGAACAUGGACAACGGUUUAAAGACCAAAGGGGUUGUCACAUUUUCUCUCUCCCUCCCUCUCUCUCUCUCUCUCUCACACAUUCCGAAAAAAGAAAAAUGGUGAGUUUGAGGAGGAUGUUGAUGAUUGUCGAUCGACUUCUAAAAUCGAAGGCCGCGAUCCACCGUAGCUCUAUUGUAGUAACAACAGUUGAAGCUUCCUCUUUUGUUCUCAUGGAGACUCUGCUUCGUCCGAGGACAACUCUGUCUCUUUCCCUUCGAAGCAGCUCUCUUCCUCUUGUUGGAACGUGGUCUUUCAUCGGAACAUCAUCGCUUCGCAGCUCUCCAAUUUGAAAAUCCCACUGGAUUAUCAAAGGACUUAGGGGUUUCAUUAAUAGCUGCGAAAGAAGGAAAUUUUCUUAAAGCUGAGAGGAUUUUCUUGGGAGGUCCAGAAAGUGCAGGAAAAUUUUUUCAGUGUGCCGAGAGAAGGGGAAGGAGGAGAAGGAGGAGGAGGAGGAGAGAGCGUGACGAGAGUGUCUUCGAAUUCGGGCAGCUCCACCAGAUUGAGAACGAGGCCGGACCCUUUCUUGGUGGUGUGUAAGUGCUUCAGCAUCUUGACCUCCCCUACAGCCGUUCUCUAUAUUGCUGUUAAUGUUCUCUCCGCCAUUCAAUCUUUGAAGGACGAAUAUGAUGUUUUUGAUGGGAUAUUUCGAUGUUAUGAGGUUUUGAUUGCAGCUUUUGUUGUUCUAGCUAAGACAAAGUGGGAAUUCAUCAUCAAGUUCUGGAAGGUGUAGCCAAGUCUGAGCUUAUCUAAUCAGAUCAAGCAGGAGUGCUUUCCACUGGUCCGCUGAAAAUUUAUUUGCUAGUGUUGUUGGUUUGUAUAAGCAUGAUUCUAUAUCAGAUAUAUGUAUAUAUGUAUGUAUAUAUAUAUAUAUAUAUAUUAUAUGCUAUUCAUGUGAGCACAUUAAAAUUCUUCAUAUAUAAAAAAUUGAGACCUUUCUUUGCCAUAUAUAUUUUUUAACCAAUGAUAUUUGGUUUUUGUUUGAAUGGAAAUUUUCUUUAGAACUAGUGUACUUGUCCAAGAAUCAAUGGAUAUAUAAGAUUGAGUUGGCUAGUUAUGUAAAGCAGCUCUAUGCACAAACCUCUGAAUGAGCUAGUUAUGUAUGGCACGGCAUUGGUCUUCCAACAAGUAGGAUGCUUGUUUGGUACAAGUCAACUUCUCAGCUCCUCUUGGUACUGAUCCAGUUGUAGUUGAUUUGAUGGGAUUGGGAAAAGGAGAAGCUUGGAUAAAUGUCAGAGCCUUGGAAGGUAUUGGCCAAAUUUUGAGGCCAAUGAAGAUGGUUGCAGUUAUAGAGGUUGGGGACUUUUUAGAAAGAGUUCUUAUGGAGAAAUACUACUUCGGCUAACAUAUAAAGCAUAUGUUGAGGAUGAAGAGGAUGACAAAGCUGAGGCAGAAUCCACUGACAUUGAUGCUUUGGAUUGUGAUGAUGAGUUACCUGAUUCUUAUGUGAAAGAAGAAACAGAGUAUUCUAAAGAAGCAGAUAAAGAGUCAUUCAUGGAUGUCUUAGCUGCUUUAAUUGUGAGUGAAGAAUUUUGAGGAAUAUUAGCCUCAGAAACCGGAACUACCAAAAUAUUGAAUAAUGUUUCAAAGGUAGAAUCAAGAAUAUCAAGAUCGCUUGGUCUUAAUGAUGAAUCCGCACCCUAUAGUUCAGAACGUUCCCAAGGAUCAGCCUAUUUUGGCUUGCUGUGAUUACAAGCAUAUCGGUGCUAAUUGCGAUAAAUAUAGGUGGUUCAAGUCUUUUCAAUCCUUGAUAUUGCAAUGUGCAGCUUAGAAGGAACUAAUUUUUAAUCAUUUUACUUCAUCAAUUAAUUCUUCAAAUCAUAAAGGUCAGUUCGCAGAAUUGGUUGCUCAGAAAAUUGUCUUAUUCCCUGGCAGGCGGGGCAACAUCUGUUGUUUAUAUAUUGAUGGUGGAUUCACCAAGAAAAUGAAAAUAGUUUUUAGCAAUUUUAUAGUUAUUGGCAGAGGAAUGUUCUGUUGACGGCAGAGAAUUUUUGCUUCUUGUCAGCGCUUUAUAUACAGUAAGUGGAAAAAAUCAUCUUGUAAUAUUCUCUAGUUUUUAUUCAUAAAACACUUGUACAUUUUUCUCUUACUAAUUCAGAUUUAGUUUUUAGUUUUUCUA